GAUGAACGCUGGCGGCGUGCCUAAUACAUGCAAGUCGAGCGAACAGAUGAGGAGCUUGCUCCUCUGACGUUAGCGGCGGACGGGUGAGUAACACGUGGAUAACCUCCCUAUAAGACUGGGAUAACUUCGGGAAACCGGAGCUAAUACCGGAUAAUAUAUUGAACCGCAUGGUUCAAUAGUGAAAGACGGUUUUGCUGUCACUUAUAGAUGGAUCCGCGCCGCAUUAGCUAGUUGGUAAGGUAACGGCUUACCACGGCAACGAUGCGUAGCCGACCUGAGAGGGGGAUCGGCCACACUGGAACUGAGACACGGUCCAGACUCCUACGGGAGGCAGCAGUAGGGAAUCUUCCGCAAUGGGCGAAAGCCUGACGGAGCAACGCCGCGUGAGUGAUGAAGGUCUUCGGAUCGUAAAACUCUGUUAUUAGGGAAGAACAAAUGUGUAAGUAACUAUGCACGUCUUGACGGUACCUAAUCAGAAAGCCACGGCUAACUACGUG
rnacentral:rRNA from 1 species